GACGAACGCUGGCGGCGUGCUUAACACAUGCAAGUCGAACGGUGAAGGGGUCUGCUUUUGUGGGCCCUGGAUGAGUGGCGAACGGGUGAGUAACACGUGAGUAACCUGUCCCCUUCUUCUGGAUAACCGCAUGAAAGUGUGGCUAAUACGGGAUAUUCUGGGUCUGUCGCAUGAUGGGUCUGGGAAAGAUUGCGCCUUUGGGUGUUUUUGGUGGGGGAUGGGCUCGCGGCCUAUCAGCUUGUUGGUGGGGUGAUGGCCUACCAAGGCGGUGACGGGUAGCCGGCCUGAGAGGGUGGACGGUCACACUGGGACUGAGACACGGCCCAGACUCCUACGGGAGGCAGCAGUGGGGAAUAUUGCACAAUGGGCGCAAGCCUGAUGCAGCGACGCCGCGUGAGGGAUGGAGGCCUUCGGGUUGUAAACCUCUUUCGCCAGUGAAGCAGGCCUGCUCCUUGUGGGUGGGUUGACGGUAGCUGGAUAAGAAGCGCCGGCUAACUACGUG
rnacentral:rRNA from 1 species